GCGAAUCGCUCCGCCCCCACUUCCGCCCCCGCCGCCCCGCCAGCCGCCCCCUCCAGCCAACUUGCUUCCCCGCGGCGCGUCGCCGGGAGGCGAGUCUGGUUGUGCGAGGCUGCGGCUCAGGCGACGAUUGCUCUGAAUACAAAAGAGCCUUUCUCACGCCCUUGCGCCCUUCCCCGCCUGGGGCGCCCAGAUGGACGGCACUGGCUCCUUGGACACUAGAGCCGACAGCUGUCGGGCCACAACACCAUUUCUGUGGUUCUUGCAGAGAAGCCUGCUUCCAAGUCUUUACAGGAAAGUUUAAUGAUCAGUAUAACGAUAACUUUGGUCCCCUCCUCCAAUUUGAGAGAAAAAACAAAUUGAGGGAUGAAGGCUUUUGAAGCCCGGUAAGUGCCCAAGAAAACCAACCUGCCUAGGUCCGUGUCUUCCCGGGCCCACUCAUACCUCCAAGUCGUUAAUUAAGCAGGCUUGGAGCCUCCAACUUUGUGGCUUCGCUUUCCAACUCAGCUAAACGAAUGACGACAGUGGUCCUUUCCGAAUAUAAACGACUUGAUCAACUUCUGAGCCUCCAGAUGAACUAGUCUUGCUUAUAGAAUCACUUGGUUCACGAAACUGGAGGGGAAAAAAAUGGCCCGGUUGUCAGCACUCGCCCAUCCACUAAGGCCGCACUGUGAGGCAUGUUGGAUCUUAGUUCCCCAACCAGAUUGUUUGAAAGUUUUCAAUCAGAGGAGAGCUGCUUUUGUUUUUAACUGUCCAUGUAGUAUGUAUAGUUAUUGUCACACACGGGAAAGAGGAAAAAUUCAUGACUGUGAAAGAAGCAGAGAAUCAUCAUCUCACAACUAAUGCUGCCAUUGCUGGACUGCAAGGAGAUCCAACCAGUCCAUCCUAAAGGAGAUCGGUCCUGGGUGUUCAUUGGAAGGACUGGUGUUGAAGCUGAAACUCCAAUACUUUGGCCACCUCAUGCGAAGAGCUGACUCAUUUGAAAAGACCCUGAUGCUGGGAGGGAUUGAGGGCAGGAGGAGAAGGGGACGACAGAGGAUGAGAUGGCUGGAUGGCAUCACCAACUCAGUGGACAUGGGUUUGGGUGACUCCGGGAGUUGGUGAUGGACAGGGAGGCCUGGCGUGCUGAUUCAUGGGGUUGCAGAGAGUCGGACACGACUGAGAGACUGAACUCAACUCAACAGAUGUAAGGAAAUAUGUCAUUGUGUUUUAAUUUGCAUUUUGCUAAUGACUAAUCAUGUUAGUUUCUCUUGACUAUUUUGAUUAAAAAAGUAAGGAAAAAAUUAAAUUUAAAUUGAUUUAAAAAGGAGAAGAGUGUCUAGUUUGGCAUAAUAUGAUGGGGUUUGGUCAGCAGGGAUGAGACAAGGGAGAGGAAUCGCAUUUGGCAGAUACUCAUUAUCUGUGCUGUUUUAUGCUGAUAAACUUUUAAAAGCAGGGUAUCUUAAGCUAAAAUCGAUGAGUUCAAUAAUUAUUUACCUAAAUUCAAGAAAAAACCACUUUUUCACAGUGACGGUUAGAGCAGGUAAAUACAGUUUAUCCUGCACAAUUAGCUCUGAUUAUUCCUGUAAAUCUUUAGCCUUUCAAAGCUCUAUAAGACUUUUAUAAAUCCCAUAGGCCUGCCAGAGGCUUUCACUAGUUUUUUGUCACCCUUCCUUUCAAAAAUUAUGUAAGGGAAUCAUUAAUUAGCAAAUCAUAUGAUUUUAGAAUAUAAAAAUUUUAUAGAAAGUGAUUUUGAGGCAUUUGAUAGAUUAUGGGGGGAAAUAGGGAUUAGAAUUUGUGCUGAACCACUGUAUGAGGGAUAUGUUGGGAUUUUAUGCCCAUCUUUUAGCCAAACUUGUACAUUUUUCUCAUUGAGCUAGAAACAGCUCUCAUUUUCUUCAGUCUGUUUGUGGAGAAUACCAACAAGCUUGCAUAUGCUGGUGCAUGGUCUGUUGAUUUUUUUCUUUGCAAGUUAACAGUUGACAAAAUAGAGCCCACAGUUCAACAUUAUCCUGGCAGUUUCAGCUGGCCUUUCAAUUAAGGACAUUUAACAUUCCCCUAAAUUGCCAGCGUGUAUCCGCCUCCCUGCUUCCACUUUCUAGUCCUAGAACUGUAACCAAAUUGGGCAGUUUUGUUGAUGAAACUAACAGUGUCAGUAACUGCCAGCAAAUUCUCUCUUACAUAUUAGGUCCAUAAAUCUUGUGCCAAUCCUGAUGGAAUGCUACAGGUAUAUGGUUUUAAAAAUAAGUUACCAAGAAAGCAAGUGUGGGUUUGUAAGCACCUGCUCUAGCAGAAUCUCAAGUUUGGAAAUAUUCUGGGUCUUCUAAUCAUGGAGUCCACUACUAGGUGCUGUGAUAGUACAAUUCUCAGCUGUAUUUGUGAUUCUGUUUUCUUAGAUUUGGGGAUCAUGUGAUCUUUGACCUACCCAUCCCCAUGUUCCUUGAACUUCGAGUUCCUUAAAAUGAAGCUUCAUAAACACAAAAACUUAAUGUUGGAAAGUAAAGAAAAAAUUGUUUUUAACCUUUUAUGAGUACCUUUUAACCUUUUCUUAAACUAUAUGCAUACA